rnacentral:rRNA from 1 species
AUUGAACGCUGGCGGCAGGCCUAACACAUGCAAGUCGAACGGUAACAGGAAGACGCUUGCUUCUUUGCUGACGAGUGGCGGACGGGUGAGUCAUGUGUGGGAAACUGCUUGAUGGAGGGGGUUAACUACUGGAAACGGUAGCUAAAACCGCAUAACGUUGCAAGACCAAAGAGGGGGACUUUCGGGCCUCUUGCCAUCGACUGCGCCCAGAUGGGGUUAGCUAGUAGGUGGGGGAACGGCUCACCUAGGCGACGAUCCCUAGCUGGUCUGAGAGGAUGACCAGCCACACUGGAACUGAGACGCGGUCCAGACUCCUACGGGAGGCAGCAGUGGGGAAUAUUGCACAAUGGGCGCAAGCCUGAUGCAGCCAUGCCGCGUGUAUGAAGAAGGCCUUCGGGUUGUAAAGUACUUUCAGCGGGGAGGAAGGGAGUAAAGUUAAUCCCUUUGCUCAUUGACGUUACCCACAGAGGAAGCACCGGCUAACUCCGUG